rnacentral:rRNA from 1 species
AAAGAUGGAUCCAACAAAAAAUCAAAGAGAGGAGCUGGUAGCAAAAAUCAAAGCAGUGGCAGCAAAAAACAAAGACAAUGGUAGCAAAAAAAUUAGAACUGAUUUCAGCAGAAAGAGAUGGAUCCAGCAAAAAAAGUAAAAAUUGAAAAGACGGUAGUAGCAAAGAACAUCUAUGGCAGUAGCAAAAAACAUAUAUGGUGGUAGCAAAAAUUAAAGUUGGUUCCAUCAAACAACACCCUCAAUUACAGAUCCUAGGAAAGAGUUACUGGUUCCAGCAAAACAAAAACCCACUCGUAGCAAAAAUUGCCGCCGAUUGUAACUCCCGCUGAAGCCAGUUCCAGCAUCUCGUCCGCCCACUUGGUCUGGAGCUUGCACUACAGUGUAUAGCAGCAGCGGGUAGUCGUCGUUGGCAGCAUCAGCACCGGUGCGGUCCGCGGGGUUCGAGAAGGAGCAAUGACUCGAUGAACCGCCGAGGGCAGAAAAAGAGGGAGUGGGUCCUGCGUGUGGCGCUGGGACUGACGACUUGCCAUGACGGAGGAGCAGUAGCUACUCGGCAAGUUGCCAUGGCUGGCUGGCACAGCUUGUCGCCGAUGGGAGAGAGCAAGCACCUACGGAUGGAGGGAGAGGGGGAAGUGGAGCUUGUUGACCAGAGAAGAUGUGUUCGUUCAUGAGGAAGAAAUGAGUGGAUCUCAUUGUUCGUGAAGAGAUAAGGUCGUGCUUGAGCGGUGCGGGUCGAUCCGUGUAUGGCCCACCUGCAGACGAGUGCGUGCGUGCGUGAGCGGUGCGGACCGGACGAAAACUCAGCCGGUCGACCGCGUAUAAACGUUUCCCAUCUCUCUUUCCCCUCGCACUGCCCCGGUGCCAAGCGUGAUAGACUAGGGUUCCUAUCUCCGCUGCCGCCCUCCCUCUCGGACACAUAGUUCCCUUGCCGUCGGCCACCUCCCAUUGUCACCUCCUCCUACCGUUGGAUUCCGCCCCUUACAGGUUCCCCUCGGCCCCUCUCAUCGAUUCUGUAACCGUCGUCAGCCUCGCCCCCCUUUACGUUUGCUUGUCCGCUGUGUCACGCCAGAUGCGGAGGUACAAUUUUCGUGUGCGAGACCGCCUGGUGAAGCACGAUGGAGGCCGGCGCUGGUUGCGGGCAAGCUCACUAGGGCAGGCACAUGGGAGGCCGGUUUUGGUAACCGGAGGAGGAAGCGGUUGCGAGGCGGAGGUCGGGAGGAGUUGGGGCAGGGAGCGCACUGGAGGGAGGUAGGGAGGGAGGGAGAGGCUGGCGGCGGCGGCGAGGGAGACCACGUCGAUGUGGGGAAUUUGGGCGGCACUCAUACAGUAAGAGAAUUCAUGUGCCAGAUCACAAUUCUGUUAACUUUGAAUCAUACAUGGGUUGGACUGGAGCAUUUUAAUUUCAGCAUUAGGAAACACCAUCCGCUACCCUUUAAGAAAUUUUUCUUCUUAGUUGUUCGCUACUUAUAUGACACUACUUAUGUGACAGUCGUGUCUUUUUAGCCAUGUGCAUACUCAGUCUGAUUGAGAUACUGCUAAUCAUUAAAUUCCCAGUACUUGUGACUCAGCUUAUUUACAAUCUUCAGUUCGCAUAAUCUUCAGGACCUUUGCGUCUCUGUAAAUAUAUGUAUUGGGUUUCUGCAUCAAGUGUUUGAUUGUUUGUCUAGAUUAUUGUUCCGCAGAGUAUUAUUUUCAAGAAAUAGUUGUUCCCAGUUUUACCGAUAGUUAUUGUUGCCUUCUGGUAAAAAUGGACCAAACAGUAUCUCAACAUGAUGUCUCCACAUCAAUGAGAUCCUCCGGGUCUCCCUAUGCUUAAAACAUCUACCUGUUCAGGAUCUUUUGUUUUUUUUUUCGUUCAGGCAUGUGGAGGAAAUUUUUGCUACAAAGUGUAUCCAAUUGAGUUCUAGAGUUUUGAGGUGUGCUGUUUUUGUUCACAUGACAAUUGGGAAGACCUGACGAACCAUCAAGAUUUUGCUUUGUAACUAUAUAUGUCCAAGUAAUUGUGAUGAAUUCCUAAAAAAAGUAAAUGUGAUGAAUAGAAGGUUGCUUCCAUCUUUUCUGUUAUAUCUUGCAGGUUGUUCUCAGAGUAAUGCAGCGUUACAAGAAGUUAUGUGGUUGCAGUUCUUUUAUGAGAACAAUGGCGGUGGACCUUCAAAGUAGUGAAGGUAGAAAACUUUGCAUCUUCAUAUAGUUAUUAUAGUGAUGUAACAGAAAGAAUUCCUUUAUUUCUCCUGAUUGUAACUUAUGAUUGUAUCGCUCCAAUAAUGUUAAUCUUAUAUAUGGAACUAAUGUUAAGUUUAUUUCUG